rnacentral:lncRNA from 13 species
CUCACAUCAACUCCUUGCUCUCCUCACCCUUCCCAGGCAUGCUGUGUUCAGCAGGUGACCAGAGGCACACGCGGGGUUGGAUCGUCCCCUCCUGGCCCCACAGGGACCCUCGGUGACGAUCCUGGUCUCCACAGGCCCCUGCAGGGCUGUAGGAAAGCCAGCACCCCCCACCCCGUGUGUCCUGUGCCUUCUGAUCCUCUCCAGCUCGGGAUUUGUCCCCAUCUUUGCGGUGCCUGGGGCGGCUCGGAGCCUCACUGGGACAAUUCUCCACCUGCCUCAGAGCCCUCAUGCGCUCCCUGCUGCCAGAAAGGGAAAUUUUCAUCCCAGUUUUACCCAGGUUGGUUGCGCCCACCCCCGUGUCUCUCCAGCCCACCCUCGGCGGGGUUGGGGCAGAGCAGACGCGCCCUAAGCAGCAGUUUGGGGUCCCCGUGUUCUCCAGACGUGCCCAGGGGACACCCCCCACCCUCGCGGUGCCGGACAGAGGUGCUCAGGACAGCAGGGGUGGAUCAAUCCCAGGGGUCCCGCACUGGGGGGACUGGGGUGGGAAUGGGCGGCGAGGAGGGGGUUUGCUCCCUGCUCCAUCCCCCAGCCCUGGAACACCGGGAUGAGCCGAAACGGGGCUUUGGCACGGGUGGCAGGAGCAGCUCUCCCUCUGCGGGGCCCCUCUGCUCGCACAUGCCAGGUGCUGGACAUGCUGUGGUGGCAUCAGCAUCACUUCCUUCUGAAUUCUGAGGAAAAACCCGAGAGGAGUCUCCUGUUGGUGCCGUCACCUCCUGGCCAUGCCCUGUGAGACCGCGGGGCCUCCUCCAGGCUUCCCCCGGGAUUUUAUCCCUCCCUCUGCCUCCUGCUUCCCUCCCUGUCCUUGACCAGCUGGAUCCUGGCAUUCCUGGAGCUUUAACAGCCCGGCAGGAACAGUCCAUGCAUCGACCCAGCUUUUACAGCCGUUGCUUCACCGUCGGCACAAACAAGGCCAGGACGGGGACGGUGCUGGAGGACGCUGCAGGGAGUGAGAGCCACGGGGUGCGAAAGGGAGAAGGACUUUUUGGGAUCCUGCUCUGCUGAGAACCCACUGAGGGACGAGCCUGAACUUCCAUCUGUGCUCUGAGCCCUGCCCCAGGUCUGCCACUGCUCUAAGAGGAUGUUCCAGGGAGGAGCUGGCCCAAAGGGACCUCAGCCA